rnacentral:rRNA from 1 species
UACGUAGGGUGCGAGCGUUAAUCGGAAUUACUGGGCGUAAAGCGUGCGCAGGCGGUUCGUUGUGUCGGCGGUGAAAGCCCCGGGCUCAACCUGGGAAUGGCCGUUGAAACUGGCGAACUGGAGUGUGGCAGAGGGGGGUGGAAUUCCGCGUGUAGCAGUGAAAUGCGUAGAGAUGCGGAGGAACACCGAUGGCGAAGGCAGAGUCUCUGGGCCGUAACUGACGCUGAGGAGCGAAAGCAUGGGGAGCGAACAGG